AUAUCAUGGUGUGGACACUUUCUUAGAAGAUCAUUAUAUCUUUCCCAUACAUCAAGGAGCUGUUCCCCAUGUAUUUGGGAAAAGGCCAGGAUUUCUUUUCUCAUUU